rnacentral:rRNA from 1 species
CGAGUCCUACGGGGGGCAGCAGUAGGGAAUCUUCCACAAUGGACGAAAGUCUGAUGGAGCAACGCCGCGUGAGUGAAGAAGGGUUUCGGCUCGUAAAGCUCUGUUGGUAGUGAAGAAAGAUAGAGGUAGUAACUGGCCUUUAUUUGACGGUAAUUACUUAGAAAGUCACGGCUAACUACGUGCCAGCAGCCGCGGGAAUACGUAGGUGGCAAACGUUUUCCGGAUUUUUUGGG